AUUGAACGCUGGCGGCAUGCCUUACACAUGCAAGUCGAACGGCAGCACGGGGGCAACCCUGGUGGCGAGUGGCGAACGGGUGAGUAACAUAUCGGAACAUACCCUAGAGUGUGGGAUAACGUAGCGAAAGUUACGCUAAUACCGCAUACGAUCUAAGGAUGAAAGUGGGGGAUCUUCGGACCUCAUGCUCAUGGAGUGGCCGAUAUCUGAUUAGCUAGUUGGUGAGGUAAAGGCUCACCAAGGCGACGAUCAGUAGCUGGUUUGAGAGAACGACCAGCCACACUGGAACUGAGACACGGUCCAGACUCCUACGGGAGGCAGCAGUGGGGAAUUUUUGGACAAUGGGGGGCGAACCCUGAUCCAGCAAUGCCGCGUGAGUGAAGAAGGCCU
rnacentral:rRNA from 1 species